rnacentral:rRNA from 1 species
AAUUGCCUUUAAAACUGCAUCGCUAGAAUUGUGGAGAGGUAAGUGGAAUUCCGAGUGUAGAGGUGAAAUUCGUAGAUAUUCGGAAGAACACCAGUGGCGAAGGCGACUUACUGGACACAUAUUGACGCUGAGGUGCGAAAGCGUGGGGAGCAAACAGAAUUAGAUACCCUGGUAGUCCACGCUGUAAACGAUGAUGACUAGCUGUCGGGGCGCUUAGCGUUCCGGUGGCGCAGCUAACGCGUUAAGUCAUCCGCCUGGGGAGUACGGCCCAAGGUUAAAACUCAAAGAAAUUGACGGGGGCCUGCACAAGCGGUGGAGCAUGUGGUUUAAUUCGAAGCAACGCGCAGAACCUUACCAGCGUUUGACAUGGUAGGACGGUUUCCAGAGAUGGAUUCCUUCCCUUACGGGACCUACACACAGGUGCUGCAUGGCUGUCUCAGCUCGGUC